rnacentral:rRNA from 1 species
GACGAACGCUGGCGGCGUGCUUAACACAUGCAAGUCGAACGGAAAGGCCCUGCUUGCAGGGUGCUCGAGUGGCGAACGGGUGAGUAACACGUGGGUGAUCUGCCCCUUACUUUGGGAUAAGCCUGGGAAACUGGGUCUAAUACUGGAUAGGACCAUGCUUUAGGUGGUGUGGUGGAAAGAUUAGUUUCGGUAAGGGAUGAGCUCGCGGCCUAUCAGCUUGUUGGUGGGGUAAUGGCCUACCAAGGCGUCGACGGGUAGCCGGCCUGAGAGGGUGGGCGGCCACCCGGGAGCGGAGACAGGGGACAGACGCCGACGGGAGGCAGCAGGAGGGAAUGGUCCGCAAAGGGGGAAAGUCUGACGGAGCAACGCCGCGGGAGUGAGGAAGGUCUUCGGAGCGGAAAACGAGGGGAGGAGGGAAGAACAAAGGGGGAAGGAACUAGGCACGUCGGGACGGGACAGAAUCAGAAAGCCACGGCGAACUACGUG